CCAGACUCCUACGGGAGGCAGCAGUGGGGAAUAUUGCACAAUGGGGGGAACCCUGAUGCAGCGACGCCGCGUGGGUGAAGGAGUACUUCGGUACGUAAAGCCCUAUCAGCAGGAAAGAAAAUGACGGUACCUGACUAAGAAGCCCCGGCUAACUACGUGCCAGCAGCCGCGGUAAUACGUAGGGGGCAAGCGUUAUCCGGAUUUACUGGGUGUAAAGGGAGCGUAGACGGCAGUGCAAGUCCGGAGUGAAAGCCCGGGGCCCAACCCCGGGACUGCUCUUGGAACUGCGUGGCUGGAGUGCAGGAGGGGCAGGCGGAAUUCCUGGUGUAGCGGUGAAAUGCGUAGAUAUCAGGAGGAACACCGGUGGCGAAGGCGGCCUGCUGGACUGCAACUGACGUUGAGGCCCGAAAGCGUGGGGAGCAAACAGGAUUAGAUACCCGCGUAC
rnacentral:rRNA from 1 species